AGUUGCCAUGGAGAACAAAUGCACCUGAGCCCACAACACACAAGUUUUAAGGAGACGACCAGUGUUUUGACACUUCAUACUCCUGUGGACAACCAUCAGCUGAACGACACGCUGCACACUCUCAAAUUUCAAAAAAUCAUGGGCUGCAACACAAGUAGGGGGGCCACAGUGGUUGACCCUUCUGAAAAGCCAGAGGACAGGCCGAAAACUGCCACGUCCACCAAGCAGGCGCCUGCAGAGGAAACGAAUGGAACAACAGAAAAAGAAAAAGACGAAAAAACGAAGAGUUCCAGCUGAGCGCCACCUUUACACCGUACCUAACUCUUCUUCUUAUUGGCCUGUCCAAGGGUGAAGGAGGACCUGUCAGCAGGAUGAGGCGACGCUGCACUACUGUCCAUCAUUGUCUGUCAUCUGGGCCAGGCACACAUAAUCAAAUACGCACACUUCUGAAGAAAUCUGACUCCUAUUGUCAAAGUCUAGAAACUAUUUUGUGAUAAAUAUAUUGUUUGGAGUAUUACA